AUAAACGAGUACACGUCUGUAAACAAACAGGUUUGUAAACCGAAAACUCAAAAAAGCAAACAAACAAUUGAAAAAUGAUGUACUGGCAAAAUAUAAAACGAGAGGGUUGAUGCAGCUAUUAAUGAAGGUCAUACAAAAAGCAAUAAUCCUGAAGAUGUGCCAAUAGUUGUUGUAGUCUUUCAUAGUUGAAGCAAAAAAGUGGAACCAAAUCAUAAAGAUGUGAUACGGUAGGAAUCAGAUGAAGAAGAUUCAACAGAUAUCUUUGUUGUUUGACCUUCAUUAAUAGCUGCAUCAACCCUCUCGUUUUAUAUUUUGCCAGUACAUCAUUUUUCAAUUGUUUGUUUGCUUUUUUGAGUUUUCGGUUUACAAACCUGUUUGUUUACAGACGUGUACUCGUUUAUACUGCUUUGUUGUUUCUUUAGUCAGUUAUGAUGUAGAGGUAGUGAAAUGAGUAUGGAUAUGUUAUCAUUUCAUGCAACAUGUAGUACAGAAUGUAAUAUAAUAAUUAGAAUGCUGAUAUUUA